rnacentral:rRNA from 1 species
ACGAACUCUGGUAUUGAUGUGGUGCUUGCAUCAUGAUUUACAUUUGAGUGAGUGGCGAACUGGUGAGUAACACGUGGGAAACCUGCCCAGAAGCGGGGGAUAACACCUGGAAACAGAUGCUAAUACCGCAUAACAACUUGGACCGCAUGGUCCGAGUUUGAAAGAUGGCUUCGGCUAUCACUUUUGGAUGGUCCCGCGGCGUAUUAGCUAGAUGGUGGGGUAACGGCUCACCAUGGCAAUGAUACGUAGCCGACCUGAGAGGGUAAUCGGCCACAUUGGGACUGAGACACGGCCCAAACUCCUACGGGAGGCAGCAGUAGGGAAUCUUCCACAAUGGACGAAAGUCUGAUGGAGCAACGCCGCGUGAGUGAAGAAGGGUUUCGGCUCGUAAAACUCUGUUGUUAAAGAAGAACAUAUCUGAGAGUAACUGUUCAGGUAUUGACGGUAUUUAACCAGAAAGCCACGGCUAACUACGUGCCAGCAGCCGCGGUAAUACGUAGGUGGCAAGCGUUGUCCGGAUUUAUUGGGCGUAAAGCGAGCGCAGGCGGUUUUUUAAGUCUGAUGUGAAAGCCUUCGGCUCAACCGAAGAAGUGCAUCGGAAACUGGGAAACUUGAGUGCAGAAGAGGACAGUGGAACUCCAUGUGUAGCGGUGAAAUGCGUAGAUAUAUGGAAGAACACCAGUGGCGAAGGCGGCUGUCUGGUCUGUAACUGACGCUGAGGCUCGAAAGUAUGGGUAGCAAACAGGAUUAGAUACCCUGGUAGUCCAUACCGUAAACGAUGAAUGCUAAGUGUUGGAGGGUUUCCGCCCUUCAGUGCUGCAGCUAACGCAUUAAGCAUUCCGCCUGGGGAGUACGGCCGCAAGGCUGAAACUCAAAGGAAUUGACGGGGGCCCGCACAAGCGGUGGAGCAUGUGGUUUAAUUCGAAGCUACGCGAAGAACCUUACCAGGUCUUGACAUACUAUGCAAAUCUAAGAGAUUAGACGUUCCCUUCGGGGACAUGGAUACAGGUGGUGCAUGGUUGUCGUCAGCUCGUGUCGUGAGAUGUUGGGUUAAGUCCCGCAACGAGCGCAACCCUUAUUAUCAGUUGCCAGCAUUAAGUUGGGCACUCUGGUGAGACUGCCGGUGACAAACCGGAGGAAGGUGGGGAUGACGUCAAAUCAUCAUGCCCCUUAUGACCUGGGCUACACACGUGCUACAAUGGAUGGUACAACGAGUUGCGAACUCGCGAGAGUAAGCUAAUCUCUUAAAGCCAUUCUCAGUUCGGAUUGUAGGCUGCAACUCGCCUACAUGAAGUCGGAAUCGCUAGUAAUCGCGGAUCAGCAUGCCGCGGUGAAUACGUUCCCGGGCCUUGUACACACCGCCCGUCACACCAUGAGAGUUUGUAACACCCAAAG